rnacentral:lncRNA from 1 species
CAUAAAAAUCUUUACUGUCCACUUAUCUCGGUGAGGUCCAUAAAACAACAUAUGAAAGCAAUAACACUAUCAUCAUCAUGAAAUCAUAUGAACUGUAUAACAAAAUACUUACCACACCUUUGCGUUUCAAUCAUUAAACAACACAUUUUCCUUAUUUACCAGCUUACUAGUAUCCAUGGGGAUCCAUAGGGGUCCCGCUACCCGUGAACCAUUAACAUUUAUAACCUGAUUCCAGAGCCGUCCCCAUGCCCCGUCCG